AGACCCCAUGAACCUUUACUGUAGCUUUGCAUUGGACUUUGAACCGAUCUGUGUAGGAUAGGUGGGAGGCUAUGAAACCGGAACGCUAGUUUCGGUGGAGCCGUCCUUGAAAUACCACCCUGGUUUGUUUGAGGUUCUAACCUUGGCCCGUGAUCCGGGUCGGGGACAGUGCAUGGUAGGCAGUUUGACUGGGGCGGUCUCCUCCCAAAGCGUAACGGAGGAGUACGAAGGUACGCUAGGUACGGUCGGAAAUCGUGCUGAUAGUGCAAUGGCAUAAGCGUGCUUAACUGCGAGACCGACAAGUCGAGCAGGUGCGAAAGCAGGUCAUAGUGAUCCGGUGGUUCUGUAUGGAAGGGCCAUCGCUCAACGGAUAAAAGGUACUCUGGGGAUAACAGGCUGAUACCGCCCAAGAGUUCAUAUCGACGGCGGUGUUUGGCACCUCGAUGUCGGCUCAUCUCAUCCUGGGGCUGUAGCCGGUCCCAAGGGUAUGGCUGUUCGCCAUUUAAAGAGGUACGUGAGCUGGGUUUAAAACGUCGUGAGACAGUUUGGUCCCUAUCUGCCGUGGGCGUUGGAUAUUUGAAGGGGGCUGCUCCUAGUACGAGAGGACCGGAGUGGACGAACCUCUGGUGUACCGGUUGUCACGCCAGUGGCAUCGCCGGGUAGCUAUGUUCGGAAGAGAUAACCGCUGAAAGCAUCUAAGCGGGAAACUCGCCUUAAGAUGAGAUAUCCCUGGGGACUAGAUCCCCUUGAAGGGUCGUUCGAGACCAGGACGUUGAUAGGUCAGGUGUGUAAGCGCAGUAAUGCGUUCAGCUAACUGAUACUAAUUGCCCGUAAGGCUUGAUCCUAUAACG
rnacentral:rRNA from 1 species